AGGAGCCGAGAGUUCUCAAAUUCAGAUUUCAGUUGUUGUAGCAGUCAGCGUUCUCAUAGUUGUCUGCCUGCUCAAAAUCAUCAUGUGGUUUGUAAAGGUCAAAAGUCCAACCCCACCACAAGUCAAUACUCCACUUAGUGAAUAACUGGGCCUUGAAUUGUGAGCCAGUACCACUGAGGGAGCUGUUUAACAUGAGGAUCUAAACUUCUUGGUAAAACAGCUUCCUCCAUGCGUAGCGGCAGACGGCGACAGGAG